UACGGGGGGGGUAAGCGUUGUUCGGAAUUACUGGGCGUAAAGGGCUCGUAGGCGGCCAACUAAGUCAGACGUGAAAUCCCUCAGCUUAACUGGGGAACUGCGUCCGAUACUGGAUGGCUUGAAUCCGGGAGAGGGAUGCAGAAUUCCAGGUGUAGCGGUGAAAUGCGUAGAUAUCUGGAGGAAUACCGGUGGCGAAGGCGGCAUCCUGGACCGGCAUUGACGCUGAUGAGCGAAAGCUAGGGGAGCAAACGGG
rnacentral:rRNA from 1 species